rnacentral:lncRNA from 1 species
GAGGAUGCAUGGAGAUGUUAUAGAAGUGGGCUUUAAAGAGGGCUCUUGUCUAUUGGACCUGUCUAUGUUGGAGAUGAGCUUUAGAUUGGCCCAUCUCAAAUGAAUUAGAAGCUCGGGCUCUAGAUAGCAUUUCAGGCCCAUUCUAGGACCCAGUCUGAAGUCGAGGGUCGAAGUUGUCGAGUCCAACCUAAUUGCUUUAUCAUGACCCCCCAACCC